GACGAACGCUGGCGGCGUGCUUAACACAUGCAAGUCGAACGGAAAGGCCCUGCUUUUGUGGGGUGCUCGAGUGGCGAACGGGUGAGUAACACGUGAGUAACCUGCCCUUGACUUUGGGAUAACUUCAGGAAACUGGGGCUAAUACCGGAUAGGAGCUCCUGCUGCAUGGUGGGGGUUGGAAAGUUUCGGCGGUUGGGGAUGGACUCGCGGCUUAUCAGCUUGUUGGUGGGGUAGUGGCUUACCAAGGCUUUGACGGGUAGCCGGCCUGAGAGGGUGACCGGCCACAUUGGGACUGAGAGACGGCGCAGACUCCUACGGGAGGCAGCAGUGGGGAAUAUUGCACAAUGGGCGGAAGCCUGAUGAAGAAACGCCGCGUGCGGGAUGACGGCCUUCGGGUUGUAAACCGCUUUAGCCUGUGACGAAGCGUGAGUGACGGUAAUGGGUAAAGAAGCACCGGCUAACUACGUG
rnacentral:rRNA from 1 species